rnacentral:sRNA from 1 species
AGGUGUGUAAGGAGUGAAGGAAAGCUCUCGGGGUCGAAACAUGGCAAGACUCCCGGGGGCUUUUUCUU